rnacentral:rRNA from 1 species
UCCGGUGGUGAUAGCGUCGAGGCCACACCCGUUCCCAUUUCGAACACGGAAGUUAAGCUCGACAGCGCCGAUGGUACUUGGGGGUAGACCCCCUGGGAGAGUAGGACGCCGCCGGAU